rnacentral:rRNA from 1 species
UCCUGGCUCAGAACGAACGCUGGCGGCGUGCUUAACACAUGCAAGUCGAACGUGAAGGGGGCUUCGGUCCCCGGAAAGUGGCGCACGGGUGAGUAACACGUGGAUAAUCUACCCGAUGAUCCGGGAUAACACUUCGAAAGGGGUGCUAAUACCUGAUAAGCCCACGAGCUCUUCGGAGCUUGCGGGAAAAGGUGGGGUACCUUCGGGUCCUACUGUCAUCGGAUGAGCCCGCGUCCCAUUAGCUAGGUGGUGGGGUAAUGGCCUACCAAGGCAACGAUGGGUAGCUGGUCUGAGAGGAUGAUCAGCCACACUGGAACUGAGACACGGUCCAGACUCCUACGGGAGGCAGCAGUGGGGAAUUUUGCGCAAUGGGCGGAAGUCUGACGCAGCAACGCCGCGUGAGUGAUGAAGGUUUUCGGAUCGUAAAGCUCUGUCAGAGGGGAAGAAACUCCCGGGUGUAAAUAACACUUGGACCUGACGGUACCCUCAAAGGAAGCACCGGCUAACUCCGUGCCAGCAGCCGCGGUAAUACGGAGGGUGCAAGCGUUGUUCGGAAUUAUUGGGCGUGAAGCGCGUGUAGGCGGUUGUUUAAGUCUGAUGUGAAAGCCCUGGGCUCAACCCGGGAAGUGCAUUGGAAACUGGGCAACUUGAGUACGGGAGAGGGUAGUGGAAUUCCGAGUGUAGGGGUGAAAUCCGUAGAUAUUCAGAGGAACACCGGUGGCGAAGGCGGCUACCUGGACCGAUAUUGACGCUGAGACGCGAAAGCGUGGGGAGCAAACAGGAAUAGAUACCCUAGUAGUCCACGCCGUAAACGAUGGGCACUAGGUGUUGCGGGUAU